CCCCUUGUUCAGUCUGGAAGGUCUCUUUGCCUCUCUUGGCCCCUAUUCACCUGCUCCUUCUCUGCCCAGCUUCCUCCAGCCCUCCAGUCCCUGGACACUCCAGCAUGGUCGUGCCUUCCCACAGCAAUUGCUGGCCACCUGGAAUUCCAGAGCACAGAUCUGGAAACUGACUGACUGGUUCUAUCUCAGUUUUCCCACUUAUCAGCUGUGCGGCCUCAGUCCCUCCCCGCAAGUCGUGGUCCCUGUCUGGUUACCUCUGAACCGCCAGUGCCUCACAGGCGAAAUGCUCAGAAGACAUCUGGAACAUUAAUGUGUGAACUGCCUAAGGAAGACAGGACAAGCAUCCCCAUUAUAUAGAAGAAGAAAUAGAAGCCCAGGAGAGUUUGUGGACUGACUUGAAUCAGUGGCUGCGUUAAGGGGGAAAUUCAGGAAACCCAUUCGGGGCCUCCCUAACUCUCAGAUUCAGCAGGGCUGCCACAGACAGCUGUGAAGUGUGUACACUGCACAAAGGUGCCCGGCCUGCGGGUGGAUGAGGAGGCUGACAUACAGCUCCCACUCCACUCGCCAAGAGUGCCCUGAUGUGGACAGGGCUGCAUGUGCUAGAGGAAGAAGAGCUUUUCUUCUAAUUUACGCAAAAACGCCAUAGAGGCAAGCAAAAGCCAGAAGCUUCCAGAAUUUCCUAUUUCUCAUCUCUUCCUCUUCACAAAAGCUGCCAGUCAACAAGCACCUACUAUGUGCCAGCCUUCAAGCUUAGUGCUUUUCUUUCAUGAUCCCCAGGACAAUUCUCUGACUCAGACUCCUGGAUAAAAACCACUCCUUCUGCUUCUUUUCUUGACACUGGUUACUGCAAAACCAAACAAGACCCAGAGCACACUCCACAUGAGUCAGAUCCUGUUGGGACAAAGGUCUCGCUCAGCUGACCCCAGGAUGAACGGCCUGGCUCAUCCAGAAGAACACCAGUAGGGGUUAGUCUAGACACAUUUUCUGGACAUUCUCAGGUCUUUGAACCUUUGUCCCAUCUGGGGCAAUUUUUGAGUACCUGAGGGGUACUGAACAAACCCACCUCGCUCUCCCUCCAAGGUUCCACAGCAGGCUUAGCACUUGGAGAAAGGCAGCAGGCAGGGUGUUUAGACACCAUGGGGCUUUGGGGCAGCAAGGUGAGGAAGAUAGUUUGGUGCUCAAGCCUUUGAGAGCAACGGUCAGCGAGCUUCUGUGAAGGGUCACAGAGUAAACAUUUCAGGCUGGUCUCUGUCACAGCUACUCAGCUCUUCCCCGGUCGUGCACAGACAACCAGAGACUUAUCUAAAUGAAUGAGUGUGACUGUGUUCCGAUAAAACUUUAUGUAUGCACACUGAAAUUUGAAUUUUAUGUGAUUUCCACAUGUAUUAACAUUUUUAUACUUUUUUUGAUUUUUAUUUUCCAACCAUGUAAAUACCAUUCUAGUCCUUGGGUUGCACAAAAGCUGACUGAUAGCAGAAUAUGGCCUGCAGGGCCAUGGUGUGCUGGCCCCAGGUCGAGAGCAAAGGAUGGUCAUCAGUCUUGGAUUCAAGUCUUGGUUAUUUCAUUAACCGAGGGUGGCAUUUGGGGAAAGUUGCUAAGCCUGUUUCCUCUCUGUCAAAUAGGGGUGGCAGUGUCUGUCAUUCAGGGGGUAAGUGAGAUUAAAUGCAAAAGCACUUCCUAACUUCAGUGAUUGGUAUGCAGUAGGCACUCCCUAACGUGAGCAAUGCACACUGCAGCAGGCUGUUUGGAGGUCAGUGGGGGAGGGGGCUGGAGAGGCCAGGGACCCUUUCUGGAGAAGGUCUGGGGUAAGCUGGGCCUUGAUUGAUGUGAGAGGUCUGGCCAAGGAAACUGGGCUCAAUUCUAGGGUCUGGAAUGGCCACUGAAGGUUCUGAAAAAGAGACCCUUCAAAGUGGGGCAUAAGAAGGUCCAUCUGCAAGGACUGCCUGGAGGGAGGGACA